GACGAACGCUGGCGGCGUGCUUAACACAUGCAAGUCGAACGGAAAGGCCCUGCUUUUGUGGGGUGCUCGAGUGGCGAACGGGUGAGUAACACGUGAGUAACCUGCCCUUGACUUUGGGAUAACUUCAGGAAACUGGGGCUAAUACCGGAUAGGAGCUCCUGCUGCAUGGUGGGGGUUGGAAAGUUUCGGCGGUUGGGGAUGGACUCGCGGCUUAUCAGCUUGUUGGUGGGGUAGUGGCUUACCAAGGCUUUGACGGGUAGCCGGCCGGAGAGGGUGGCCGGCCACAUUGGGACUGCGAUACGGCCCAGUCUCCUACGUGAGGCAGCAGUGGGGAAUAUUGCACAAUGGGCGCAAGCCUGAUGCAGCAACGCCGCGUGCGGGAUGACGGCCUUCGGGUUGUAAACCGCUUUCGCCUGUGACGAAGCGUGAGUGACGGUAAUGGGUAAAGAAGCACCGGCUAACUACGUG
rnacentral:rRNA from 1 species